rnacentral:rRNA from 1 species
AGCGAACGCUGGCGGCAGGCUUAACACAUGCAAGUCGAGCGGGCACUUUCGGGUGUCAGCGGCGGACGGGUGAGUAACGCGUGGGAACGUGCCCUCUGGUUCGGAAUAACUCAGGGAAACUUGAGCUAAUACCGGAUACGCCCUUUUGGGGAAAGGCUUGCUGCCGGAGGAUCGGCCCGCGUCUGAUUAGCUAGUUGGUGAGGUAACGGCUCACCAAGGCGACGAUCAGUAGCUGGUCUGAGAGGAUGAUCAGCCACACUGGGACUUAGACACGGCCCAGACUCCUACGGGAGGCAGCAGUGGGGAAUAUUGGACAAUGGGCGCAAGCCUGAUCCAGCCAUGCCGCGUGAGUGAUGAAGGCCUUAGGGUUGUAAAGCUCUUUUAUCCGGGACGAUAAUGACGGUACCGGAGGAAUAAACCCCGGCUAACUUCGU